rnacentral:lncRNA from 1 species
AUUUGUUUGCAAUGAAUAUAUUAGUUAUGUGUUUUCCCCAAUAAAUCUAUGUAGGAUAAUUACAUUUUAAGAACAUUUUUAAGAACAGUGUCUUCUGAGCAGAAAACAAAAAAGUGUUUUUCUCUUUGCCUUGCCAGUAGUGAAGAUAUGAUGAGUGAAAUGAUGAAAAGCAAUGGCAUGCUUUGAAUUGUAAAUAUAACUUAUUUAGAAAAAGUCUGAAGGAACCAGAUGUUGACCCUGAAAAAAAGAAGGGUAUUGUACAGAAUAAGAGAAAGAGAUAUAUAGUAAUAUCCUUCCAAAAUCUGCCUCUCUUCCCAGACUAC